AUGAAGAUGGAAUAUGUGGUUAUGUUGAGGAAAGUGAGAUGUGAGGUCGAUGAUCAAGCAAAAGGAGGAGGGAGUACUGGAAGGGAUUGUUUGGUGUAUGGAAAUGGGCAGCAGGUAUAUAUAUGCAGAGUUUUUGACAGACCUGCUUGGUUGCUUAUGCAGGGUAUUGGAGCAAGAUUUGAAGCUUUGAAAUUAACAUUAGGUCUAGAAUUUAACUUUUUAUGUAACAUGAAUGGAGACUUGUCUUGA